AGAGUUUGAUCAUGGCUCAGAUUGAACGCUGGCGGCAGGCCUAACACAUGCAAGUCGAACGGUAACAGGAAGCAGCUUGCUGCUUCGCUGACGAGUGGCGGACGGGUGAGUAAUGUCUGGGAAGCUGCCUGAUGGAGGGGGAUAACUACUGGAAACGGUAGCUAAUACCGCAUAAUGUCGCAAGACCAAAGAGGGGGACCUUCGGGCCUCUUGCCAUCGGAUGUGCCCAGAUGGGAUUAGCUUGUUGGUGGGGUAACGGCUCACCAAGGCGACGAUCCCUAGCUGGUCUGAGAGGAUGACCAGCCACACUGGAACUGAGACACGGUCCAGACUCCUACGGGAGGCAGCAGUGGGGAAUAUUGCACAAUGGGCGCAAGCCUGAUGCAGCCAUGCCGCGUGUAUGAAGAAGGCCUUCGGGUUGUAAAGUACUUUCAGCGGGGAGGAAGGGAGUAAAGUUAAUACCUUUGCUCAUUGACGUUACCCACAGAAGAAGCACCGGCUAACUCCGUGCCAGCAGCCGCGGUAAUACGGAGGGUGCAAGCGUUAAUCGGAAUUACUGGGCGUAAAGCGCACGCAGGCGGUUUGUUAAGUCAGAUGUGAAAUCCCCGGGCUCAACCUGGGAACUGCAUCUGAUACUGGCAAGCUUGAGUCUCGUAGAGGGGGGUAGAAUUCCAGGUGUAGCGGUGAAAUGCGUAAAGAUCUGGAGGAAUACCGGUGGCGAAGGCGGCCCCCUGGACGAAGACUGACGCUCAGGUGCGAAAGCGUGGGGAGCAAACAGGAUUAGAUACCCUGGUAGUCCACGCCGUAAACGAUGUCGACUUGGAGGUUGUGCCCUUGAGGCGUGGCUUCCGGAGCUAACGCGUCAAGUCGACCGCCUGGGGAGUACGGCCGCAAGGUUAAAACUCAAAUGAAUUGACGGGGGCCCGCACAAGCGGUGGAGCAUGUGGUUUAAUUCGAUGCAACGCGAAGAACCUUACCUGGUCUUGACAUCCACGGAAGUUUUCAGAGAUGAGAAUGUGCCUUCGGGAACCGUGAGACAGGUGCUGCAUGGCUGCCGUCAGCUCGUGUUGUGAAAUGUUGGGUUAAGUCCCGCAACGAGCGCAACCCUUAUCCUUUGUUGUCAGCGGUCCGGCCGGGAACUCAAAGGAGACUGCCAGUGAUAAACUGGAGGAAGGUGGGGAUGACGUCAAGUCAUCAUGGCCCUUACGACCAGGGCUACACACGUGCUACAAUGGCGCAUACAAAGAGAAGCGACCUCGCGAGAGCAAGCGGACCUCAUAAAGUGCGUCGUAGUCCGGAUUGGAGUCUGCAACUCGACUCCAUGAAGUCGGAAUCGCUAGUAAUCGUGGAUCAGAAUGCCACGGUGAAUACGUUCCCGGGCCUUGUACACACCGCCCGUCACACCAUGGGAGUGGGUUGCAAAAGAAGUAGGUAGCUUAACCUUCGGGAGGGCGCUUACCACUUUGUGAUUCAUGACUGGGGUGAAGUCGUAACAAGGUAACCGUAGGGGAACCUGCGGUUG
rnacentral:rRNA from 1 species